rnacentral:miRNA from 1 species
UCUCACUAUCUUGUCGUUCAUG